rfam:Gossypium raimondii Chr07_contig_43, whole genome shotgun sequence.
UGUUAAAAUUUUCAUUUAUUUUUACUAUUAAAAACUAACAUGGUUGACAGAAUAACCAAACAAUGACAUGUAAUGUGUCAUUUGCCAUGUAUACCUCAUGCUGACAUAUACGAGGCAGUUUUUAACAAUAGAAAUAAAUAAAGCUUUUAACA